UGGAUCCGCGCUGCAUUAGCUAGUUGGUAAGGUAACGGCUUACCAAGGCAACGAUGCAUAGCCGACCUGAGAGGGUGAUCGGCCACACUGGAACUGAGACACGGUCCAGACUCCUACGGGAGGCAGCAGUAGGGAAUCUUCCGCAAUGGGCGAAAGCCUGACGGAGCAACGCCGCGUGAGUGAUGAAGGUCUUCGGAUCGUAAAACUCUGUUAUUAGGGAAGAACAUAUGUGUAAGUAACUGUGCACAUCUUGACGGUACCUAAUCAGAAAGCCACGGCUAACUACGUGCCAGCAGCCGCGGUAAUACGUAGGUGGCAAGCGUUAUCCGGAAUUAUUGGGCGUAAAGCGCGCGUAGGCGGUUUUUUAAGUCUGAUGUGAAAGCCCACGGCUCAACCGUGGAGGGUCAUUGGAAACUGGAAAACUUGAGUGCAGAAGAGGAAAGUGGAAUUCCAUGUGUAGCGGUGAAAUGCGCAGAGAUAUGGAGGAACACCAGUGGCGAAGGCGACUUUCUGGUCUGUAACUGACGCUGAUGUGCGAAAGCGUGGGGAUCAAACAGGAUUAGAUACCCUGGUAGUCCACGCCGUAAACGAUGAGUGCUAAGUGUUAGGGGGUUUCCGCCCCUUAGUGCUGCAGCUAACGCAUUAAGCACUCCGCCUGGGGAGUACGACCGCAAGGUUGAAACUCAAAGGAAUUGACGGGGACCCGCACAAGCGGUGGAGCAUGUGGUUUAAUUCGAAGCAACGCGAAGAACCUUACCAAAUCUUGACAUCCUUUGACAACUCUAGAGAUAGAGCCUUCCCCUUCGGGGGACAAAGUGACAGGUGGUGCAUGGUUGUCGUCAGCUCGUGUCGUGAGAUGUUGGGUUAAGUCCCGCAACGAGCGCAACCCUUAAGCUUAGUUGCCAUCAUUAAGUUGGGCACUCUAAGUUGACUGCCGGUGACAAACCGGAGGAAGGUGGGGAUGACGUCAAAUCAUCAUGCCCCUUAUGAUUUGGGCUACACACGUGCUACAAUGGACAAUACAAAGGGUAGCGAAACCGCGAGGUCAAGCAAAUCCCAUAAAGUUGUUCUCAGUUCGGAUUGUAGUCUGCAACUCGACUACAUGAAGCUGGAAUCGCUAGUAAUCGUAGAUCAGCAUGCUACGGUGAAUACGUUCCCGGGUCUUGUACACACCGCCCGUCACACCACGAGAGUUUGUAACACCCGAAGCCGGUGGAGUAACCUUUUAGGAGCUAGCCGUCGAAGGUGGGACAAAUGAUC
rnacentral:rRNA from 1 species